rnacentral:rRNA from 1 species
UACGGAGGGAGCUAGCGUUGUUCGGAAUUACUGGGCGUAAAGCGCACGUAGGCGGCUUUGUAAGUUAGAGGUGAAAGCCCGUGGCUCAACCGCGGAAGUGCAGUCGAAACUGUCAGACUUGAGGCCCGGAGAGGGUGGCGGAAUUCCCAGUGUAGAGGUGAAAUUCGUAGAUAUUGGGAGGAACACCGGUGGCGAAGGCGGCCACCUGGACGGGUUCUGACGCUGAGACGCGAAAGCGUGGGGAGCAAACAGG